rnacentral:lncRNA from 1 species
AUCUGUAACCCACUGUGCCUGGCCAGGGAUCGAACAGGGAUCACCAGCAGGAAGUCCUCCCUUGAAAGUUUGAUCCUGCUUAUCUACCCAAUGUAGAAGUGAGUCAUAUAAAAGAUAAUCCAGAACAUUUGCAUUCUGCCUUUUAUUUUGUCCUCAAGGCAUGCCCUCUGGGCCUCAACACCCAAGGAAAUGCCUUGUCCUAGAGAAAAUGAAUCCCAUUCUCCUCCUCUCCACACCCCCUAAGGAAGUGUUGCUCACUGAAACCUGAAAGUAUUGAGGGUAGGGAUGAUGUCUUCAUUGCUUUUUUAAUCCCCAGGGCCAGCCCUACUGCUUGGUAUCCAGCAGAAAUUCAGCGAAGGUAUAAUGAGUAAGCUGGACAAUGUUUUCAUCCAAAAAAGGGAAUGGAUUUGGAUCAAUAGUAGAGUGGGUGUUAUUUAUAUGAUAGCAUUUUCAAUUGCGCCAAAUUAUCAAUUUUUACCUAGAGGAAAGACUGUAGUAGUGAGGAGACUUGUUUGCCCCAAAUCUAAACACUGGAAGACUUAUGAGUUGUCUAUGUGCCAGUUACUAGGGUGUCAAGACUCAAAUGCCUUUUAUUCAUUCUUCCAACCUGUCAAUACUUAUCUACUACAUUAAGUGCUAGACAUUGAGCACAUUUCCUCUGUGUUAGCACUCAUUUUUUGCCCCAUACCGAAGAAUAAAAGUUUUGUGAAAUUUCUCAAUACUUUAGAACACAAGGCAACAACCUUAAAGAAAUUACCUGUUUCCCAACCUAAAUGUCCAUUGACGAAUGGAUUAAGAAGAUGUGGUACACAUACACAAUGACAUACUACUCAGCCAUAAAAAAGAAUAAUGACAUUUGUAGCAACACAGAUGGAACGAGAGACUCUCAUACUAAGUAAGUCAGAAAGAGAAAAACAAGUACCAUAUGAUAUCACUUAUAUCUGGAAUCUAGUGUACAGCACAAAUACACCCUUCCACAGAAAAGAAAAUCAUGGACUUGUAGAACAAACUUGUGGUUGCCAAGGGGGAGGGAGAGGGAGUGGGAUGGAUUAGGAAUCUGGGCUUAAUAGAUGCAAAAACUAUUGCCUCUGGAAUGGAUUAGCAAUGAGAUCCUGCUGUAUAGCACUGGGAACACUAUCUAGUCACUUUCGAGGGAGCAUGAUAGAGGAUAAUAAAAAAAAAAGGAUGUAUGUAUGUAUGUGUGACUGGAUCACUUUGCUGUAUAGCAGGAAAUUGACAGAACACUGUAAACCAACUAUAACGGGAAAAAAAAAUCGUUAAAAAAAAUAAAGUACCUGUUUCCAAAUGCACCCCCAGUAUAUUAAAAACACACGUAGUCAUGAAUUUUCCAUAAACUAUACAUCUUUCAAUUAGACAAGAGAAUUAUUUCUAGAAGGUUUUGAACACUGACAGUAUGGUAUUUAACAUGUUUUUAAGAAAUUCUCCUAAGGAGACAGUGAGUUCAAAGGGCUUAAAAAAACUCAAGAAGGGUUUUCCUUUUUUUUUUUUUUUUUUUUCUACAAAGUCUUCCUGUUAUACAACCUAAAAUAUGUUAGUAUUUGGUGGGGGGAUUUAACUGCCAGUCAUAGACACUUGCCUGUAACAGACAACAUGAUAGUUCAUUUAUCAAUAAGUACUAUCCUUUUUACCGGCAAAUAAGUGCCUCAUGUAACCAUUUUUCACCAUCUCCUCUGCUGUCAUCCCAAUUAAGCCUCCAUCGUCUCUUAUCUAGACUAUAACAUCCCAAUUAAGCCUCCAUCAUCUCUUAUCUAGACUCUAACAGCCUCCUCACAGAGCAAAGUCAUCUUCCCAAAGUAGAAAUCCAACCUUGUCCCUCCCUUCCUUAAACUCCAACUGCUUCUGCAUAUUUAGGGAACCUUCAUAUCACUUUGACUUCUAACAUUAGCUGCAAAGUGUAAGAGUCUCCGAGAUCACCCCUCCACACUUAUGACACCAAUUUCAAGUUUAAGAGUCAUCACCACCUCAGGUCUGAAAAUGUUCUAUCAAGACUCACAGAACUCACCGAACACUAUUAUACACAUGGUUAUGACUUAUUACAGUCAAAGGAUAUACACUGAAAUCAGCGAAGUGAAGGUGUGUGUGGGAACCCCAGAAGGGCUCCAUGCACAAAGCAUCCAGUUGUCCUUUCCAAGGGAGUCACUUACAGCACUCACUUUUUCCAGCAAUGUCGUCUCAUGGUUAUCGCUGAGUAUUGCCAACUAGAGAAGCUCACCCAAGACUUGAUAUCCAGAAUUUUUAUUGGGGCUCAGGCACCUAGACAUCGUUGACUGCCUAUAUGGCUCAUCUUUAGCCUCCAGUUUCCCUUGAGGUUCAGCACAAAGCCACCAGCAUAAAUCACACCACUAGACUAUGCUCAGGUAAACAAAGAUACUUUUAUCAGGUAGAAUAUCACGAGGGGCUUCCAGGGGACAAGGGCAAAGACCAGACCUCUCCAAUGUAGGGUUAAGUGUUCCCAAUACUUUUGGAACAAAAACUUAUCACAGUUGCAAAGCCAGCUAAGAUCUGGCCCGUACCUGCCUUACCUACAUCUCCAUUUCCCCAUUAGUUGCUCUGUUCCAGUCACAUCAGCUUCCUUCUAUAAUUAUUUUUUUAAUGACCACACCUGCAGCAUAUGGAAGUUCCCAGGCCAGGGACUGCAUCCGAGCCACAGCUUUGACCUAAACUGGAUUCUUUAACCCAAACUGGAUUCUUUAACCCACUGUGCAGGCCACGCAUUGAUGGCACACCUCCAUAGCAACCCGAGCCACUGCUGUCAGAUUCUUAACCCACUGUGCCAUAUCAGGAACUCCAGCCUUCUUUUGGUGUCUGGGACACACCCAGCUCCAACUCAAGACAUUGUUCUUGCUGUUCCUUCUGCCUAAAUGCUCCUUCCCAGAUGUUCACACAGUUCUCUGCUAUUCAUCAAAAUAAAUGCCACCUCCUCAGAGAGGCCUUCCCUAAAUACCCUAGCAAAAGCAGCCACAACCUGUCUCCCAACACACAGAUGCACACACACAUGCACACACAACAGAUGUGUUCAUGUAGUGUGUACAUGUACACAUCACACACACACACACUCCACCACAUGACACUUUUUCUUCAUAGUACUUUUAAGGACGUAAAUUACAUUAACUGUUUAUUGCCUCUCUGUUGUUUACAAUAGAAGGUAAGCUCCAUCUUGUUCACCAGUCUUUUCCCAGUAUAUAGAUUGGUACCUAAUAGCUAGUGUCUAUUCAAAAAUAUAUGUGGAUUGUAUAUGUGCCUGAUAUUAGACAGGUAUGGACACAAAGAAUUAUAACUUAUCUGAGCUGACUUCAGAUUAAUUACAUUCCUGUAAUGUUAAGAAGCAGUCUCUUUCUCUUAGCAAGAGACUAGGCACUGUAUGCCAUCUAUAAUUAACCAAGGGAAAACAUUAGUAGGAAUAUAUGAAAUAUGAUCAAAUGAAUGAGACUGAUUUUCCUCUGUGUAUUAUUAAAUCAGUCUCACUAUUUUGUGGUCAUAUAUUACAAUGGUGACUUAACUAUGAGGUUAUCAGUGGUAGAAAAAAAAAAGAUGAGAUGACAGGAUGGACCCAGGAGAACAGAGCUGAGUCUCCUUAUCUUUUCUUCCAUUUAAGAAAAACCCAAGUUCCUAAUUAAUGUUAUGCAAUGAAAAGUACAAGGUGAUUAUUCAUCAAUUAAGAAAUGAGACAGUCAAACUGUCCAAUAUGAUAUGCUAAUAGUGGAUACAUGUAUUAUACAUCUGUCAAAAUCCCUAAACCACACAACAGCAAGAGACGCUAAUGUCAGCAAUGCUUUAGUUAAAAAUGGUUUAUCAACAUUGGUUCAUUGAUUGUAAUAAAAAUACCACACUGUUAAAAGCAAGACAACAGGGACAAAGGGGAGUCACUUAUCCUAACCUCCAUGUUAGCAAACUGAGACUUAAUUACAGUUUUGGCCUCUCCCACAAAUGGAAUCUUAAACCAGUCAGUCAGGAAGCCCCUGGUCAGCACUUGUUAACUUAUCUGCCUAGAAGACCACUGCCAAGUCCUAACGCAAAGGGACCUUGCCCAAGCCAAUCCACUUUUUGCUACUACGGGUAUACCCUGGUUUUCCAGUUUGCCUUCUGCCACUUUGCCUUCAUGAAAGACCUAUCUUAGUACCUGUUUUCACUCACCGAAAGAAAUCUGAAGAUUUUUGCUUUUAGCAAAAGAAAAGGAAAAAAAAAAAAAAAAAAAAAAAAAGGCAGGGUAGGGGGUGGAUGAAGCCUGCGAACAGCAUUUGUUUUGCAGGCAGGCUUCACAGAGGUAGCUCACACCCAGAGCAGCAAGAGGGGCCCCACUAAGCUCUUCCCUAAGAACCACACUCAAUAGCUCAGCAUCCAAUCACCCUAACUUUCAACUGUGUCUGCAAGCAAACUCUGUCCUAAGGUAAUCAUGUCUUCACUUGACACCAUUUCAGCUUAUAGGAAAUUUCAGAGGAAUGCUCUAAUUUCAGACUAAGGGGGAAACCGAUCAAAGUUGCUGUCCCAGUCUCUUCCACCUAUAAAAAGUCUGUCAUUUUGUACAGCUCUUCGGCGCUCCUUUCCGUGUGCUGGAUGGGAUGCUGGCCUGUUCACAAAUAGAGCCAGUAACAUCUUUACAUUUUAUUCAGUCCAACUUUGUUUGGUAACAACAAGAUGUGAAUGGGGAAGUGAGGAGGAGAGACAGGAAGCACAUGGGAACUCUGCCAAAAAAGAAACCCUAUUAAUUUUUUUUUUUUUUUGUCUUUUUUUUUGCUAUUUCUUGGGCCGCUCCUGCGGCA